GAUGAACGCUAGCUACAGGCUUAACACAUGCAAGUCGAGGGGCAGCAUGAAGUUUGCUUGCAAACUUUGAUGGCGACCGGCGGAUGGGUGAGUAACGCGUACCCAACCUGCCCCCUUCCCGGGCACAGCCCUUGGAAACGAGGAUUAACGCCCGAUGGCGUCUGGAUGCCGCAUGGCAUUCCGACCAAAUGCGAAGGAAGGGGAUGGGGGGUGCGUCCCAUUAGCUAGUUGGCGGGGUAACGGCCACCAAGGCAUCGAUGGGUAGGGGUUCUGAGAGGAAGGUCCCCCACACUGGAACUGAGACACGGUCCAGACUCCUACGGGAGGCAGCAGUGAGGAAUAUUGGUCAAUGGAGGCAACUCUGAACCAGCCAAGUAGCGUGAGGGAUGACUGCCCUACGGGUUGUAAACCUCUUUUGUCGGGGAAUAAACCGCGCCACGUGUGGCGCCCUGCAUGUACCCGCAGAAUAAGGACCGGCUAAUUCCGUG
rnacentral:rRNA from 1 species